rnacentral:tRNA from 1 species
GGCACUGUGGCACAGCGGGUUAAUGCGCUGGCCUGAAGCGCCAGCAUCCCAUAUGGGCGCCGGUGCUA